rnacentral:lncRNA from 1 species
CAAGGCCACAAGGUACUUUAUUUUUUCAUAGGAACAACCAACCCUGUUAAGGCCAGAGACAGAAAUUAACAUGACAUGGAUGAGAAAAAUCAAGGAACAUAUGUAGGCCACAGGCAGACUCAUUCUCCCCUGGGAUGGAUGUCCUCCGUCCCUGGGGAUAUGUAGCUGUAAGCUAUGGUUACUGAUUAGGAGCUGGGACCUCUGUAGCUUAACUGCUGGACUGAGGCUGAAACCCAAGAGCUCUCAAAGGACUACUCAUGGGAUAGUGGUGGGCACCCUUAACUUAAAUGGACUCGUGGUUUGUUUUGGUGGGAGGUUGUGGUUUUUUAGGUGUAUUUCGAACCCCUGUCUGCCUGUGUGGCGUUCCAUUUGGACUAAGACCACUUGCUGUCCUGGCUUCCUCUUUGCCAGGAUCAUGGAGAAGUCCCUGUCAGUCAGCAGGUACCAACCUGACUCCACAUGUUUCUCUCUCACACACAUACAUAGAUUGGGCACCUCGAUUCCUAAUGUGCCUCCUUGAUUGUCUAUAUCCCACACCCAGUCCAGUCCAGUUCUAGAGUCAGGGAAAACUCGGGAGUUAUUGGCUAAUCAGCCAGCCUGGAGAGGCCCCUCCGAAGCCCGAUGAUGUCUCUGUUGUACACACAUUUUGUAGUGUUUGAUGAAGAACUCCAUCAAAUUAAGGAAAUCCAAGUGGCUAGGAUAGGGAAGACUCUGGU